AUGGCGACCGGCGCACGGGUGAGUAACGCGUAUCCAACCUGCCCUUUACUCCGGGAUAGUCUCCUGAAAGGGAGUUUAAUACCGGAUGUGUUUGUCUUUCCGCAUGGGAGCGACAAAUAAAGAUUGAUUGGUAAAGGAUGGGGAUGCGUCCCAUUAGCUUGUUGGCGGGGUAACGGCCCACCAAGGCGACGAUGGGUAGGGGUUCUGAGAGGAAGGUCCCCCACAUUGGAACUGAGACACGGUCCAAACUCCUACGGGAGGCAGCAGUGAGGAAUAUUGGUCAAUGGGCGGGAGCCUGAACCAGCCAAGUAGCGUGAAGGAUGACGGCCCUACGGGUUGUAAACUUCUUUUAUAAGGGAAUAAAGUUCGCCACGUGUGGUGUUUUGUAUGUACCUUAUGAAUAAGCAUCGGCUAAUUCCGUGCCAGCAGCCGCGGUAAUACGGAAGAUGCGAGCGUUAUCCGGAUUUAUUGGGUUUAAAGGGAGCGUAGGCGGGCUUUUAAGUCAGCGGUCAAAGUUUGCCACGGCUCAACCGUGGCCAGCCGUUGAAACUGCAAGCCUUGAGUCUGCACAGGGCACAUGGAAUUCGUGGUGUAGCGGUGAAAUGCUUAGAUAUCACGAAGAACUCCGAUCGCGAAGGCAUUGUGCCGGGGCAGCACUGACGCUGAGGCUCGAAAGUGCGGGUAUCAAACAGGAUUAGAUACCCUGGUAGUCCGCACGGUAAACGAUGAAUGCUCGCUAUGGGCGAUACAAUGUCCGUGGCCAAGCGAAAGCGUUAAGCAUCCACCUGGGGAGUACGCCGGCAACGGUGAAACUCAAAGGAAUUGACGGGGGCCCGCACAAGCGGAGGAACAUGUGGUUUAAUUCGAUGAUACGCGAGGAACCUUACCCGGGCUUGAAUUGCAGGUGCAUGAGUCGGAGACGGCUCUUUCCUUCGGGACUCCUGUGAAGGUGCUGCAUGGUUGUCGUCAGCUCGUGCCGUGAGGUGUCGGCUUAAGUGCCAUAACGAGCGCAACCCUUCUCCCCAGUUGCCAUCGGGUAAUGCCGGGCCCUCUGGGGACACUGCCAUCGUAAGAUGCGAGGAAGGUGGGGAUGACGUCAAAUCAGCACGGCCCUUAC
rnacentral:rRNA from 1 species